UGAGGAAUAUUGGUCAAUGGGCGGGAGCCUGAACCAGCCAAGUCGCGUGAAGGAAGAAGGAUCUAUGGUUCGUAAACUUCUUUUGCAGGGGAAUAAAGUGCAGGACGUGUCCUGUUUUGUAUGUACCCUGAGAAUAAGGAUCGGCUAACUCCGUGCCAGCAGCCGCGGUAAUACGGAGGAUCCGAGCGUUAUCCGGAUUUAUUGGGUUAAAGGGUGCGUAGGUGGUUUGAUAAGUCAGCGGUGAAAGUUUGCAGCUUAACUGUAAAAAUGCCGGUGAAACUGUCGGACUUGAGUGUAAAUGAAGUAGGCGGAAUGCGUGGUGUAGCGGUGAAAUGCAUAGAUAUCACGCAGAACUCCGAUUGCGAAGGCAGCUUACUAAGCUACAACUGACACUGAAGCACGAAAGCGUGGGGAUCAAACA
rnacentral:rRNA from 1 species